ACUGACUGAAAAAUUCCAGCGCAGACAGUGCUGUAUUGCGACGUUCUCAACAAAAAGCUAGGAACCAAGUGUUAUGGGAAUAGAUAUCCUGGGGUGCCACAUUUACUGCUGCACAGCAAACUGUCUGCCUCAACACAUGGGACAUUGACUCCAUGGGUGAUCCAAAGUUUGUGGGACAGCAGCUGUUUUGCCUCCGACACGAUCUCUUCGAAAACGUUCAGGAGCCAGGACUUGGCCAUUUGCUCCUUAGCACAUCUUAUGAUCUCUGCUGGACACAACAAUGUAGUAUGUUUCUAUGAAUCCAUCUCUUGAUUUAAGUUGAUGUAACUGUAUGCAUGGUUUUUGACCAUGUUCUCUAUUCUUUACAAAGACAUUGAAGAUACUACACUGACUCCAUCACACAGAGCAUGUGACUGAAGGCAAGACGGUUACCUUUAUACAGGAACGUCAUACGUUGUAAUGUCAUGUGACUGGCUUAAAGGUACAGGCCUGUCUUGCCUGGAAUCUAUACCAUAAUUCAACAGUCACCUCCUGCCCAGCCCUUUGAGAGAAUAAGGAAUCAUCACUUCCCUACUUUUAUAUUCCAUUCCCUUUGCAAUAAAGAACAUUCCAUUUGCCAUCCUAA